GAGGGUAUAGCUCAAUGGUAGAAUGUGUGCGUAGCAAGCACAAGGUCUGGGUUCAAUCCCCAGUACCUCCA
rnacentral:tRNA from 1 species